rnacentral:lncRNA from 1 species
GUUGCCCAGUAGAUACAACCCAAGAGGGGGGGUGAAUUGGGUCUUUUAAAACUUUUAGGCUACUUCUAACACUUUUCAAUUAAUUAUGCUAAGUUGUAUAGAUGCACAGUGGAAUUUAAACUUAGCAACAGUUUGAUUUAUUGAGUGAGACUUGAUUAAGUAAAUUGAAUAUGCUUGCAACUAAAGGAUGCGCGGAUAAGAGUUAAGCA